GAGAGAGAUGGAGAGCUAGAGAGAGAGAGAGAGAUGGAGAGCUAGAGAGAGAGAGAUGGAGAGAGGGAGAUGGAGAGCUAGAGAGAGAAAGAUGGAGAGCUAGAGAGAGAGAUGGAGAGAUAGUGAGAGAGAGAUAGAGAGCCAGAGAGAGAGAGAUUGAGAGCUAGAGAGAGCGAGAUGGAGACCUAGAGAGAGAGAGAUGGAGAGCUAGAGAGAGAGAUGGAGAGAGGGAGAUGGAGUGCUAGAGAGAGAGGGAGAUGGAGAGCUAAAGAGAGAGAUGGAGAUGGAGAGCUAGAGAGAGAGAGACUGAGAGCUAGAGAGAGAUGGAGAUGGAGAGCUAGAGAGAUGGAGAGUGAGAGAGAGAUGGAGAGUCAGAGAGAGAGAGAGCUGGAGAGCUAGAGAGAGAGUGAUGGAGAGCUAGAGAUUGAGAGAUGGAGAGCUAGAGCUAGAGAGAGAGAUGGAGAGCUAGAGAGAGAGAGGGAGAUGAGAGCUAGAGAGAGAGAGAUGGAGAGCUAGAGAGAGAGCGAGAUGGAGAGCUAAAGAGAGAGAGAGAUGGAGAGCUAGAGAUAGAGAGAGAGAUUGAGAGCUAGAGAGAGAGAGAUGGAGAGCUAGAGAUAGAGAGAGAUGGAGAGCUAGAGAGACAGAGAGAUGGAGAGCUAGAGAGAGAGAGAUGGAGAGCUAUAGAGAGAGAGAUUGAGAGCUAGAGAGAGAGAGAUGGAGAGCAAGAGAGAGAGAUGGAGAGAGAGAGAAAUGGAGAGCUAGAGAGACAGAGAAAUGGAGAGCUAGAGAGAGAGAGAUGGAGAGCUAGAGAGAGAGAGAUGGAGAGCUAGAGAGAGAGAUGGAGAGAGAGAGAAAUGGAGAGCUAGAGAGACAGAGAAAUGGAGAGCUGGAGAGAGAGAUGGAGAACUAGAGAGAGAGAGAUGGAGAGCUAGAGAGAGAGAGAGAGAUGGAGAGCUAGAGAGAGAGAGAUGGAGAGCUAGAGAGAGAGAGAUGGAGAGCUAGAGAGAGAUGGAGAGCUAGAGAGAGAGAGAUGGAGAGCUAGAGAGAGAAAGAUGGAGAGCUAGAGAGAGAGAGAUGGAGAGCUAGAGAGAGAAAGAUGGAGAGCUAGAGACAGAGAGAUGGAGAACUAGAGAGAGCGAGAUGGAGAGCUAGAGAGAGAGAUGGAGAGCUAUAGAGAGAGAGAUGGAGAGCUAGAGAGAGAGAGAUGGAGAGCUAGAGAGAGAGAUGGAGAGAGAGAGAAAUGGAGAGCUAGAGAGAGAGAGAUGGAGAGCUAGAGAGAGAGAGAUGGAGAGCUAGAGAGAGAGAUGGAGAUGGAGAGCUAGAGAGAGAUGAAGAGCUAGAGAAAGAGAGAUGGAGAGCUAGAGAGAGAGAGACUGAGAGCUAGAGAGAGAGAUGGAGAUGGAGAGCUAGAAAGAUGGAGAGCGAGAGAGAGAUGGAGAGCCAGAGAGAGAGAGCGCUGUAGAGCUAGAGAGAGAGUGAUGGAGAGCUAGAGCUAGAGAGAGAGAUGGAGAGCUAGAGAUAGAGAGAGAGAUUGAGAGCUAGAGAGAGAGAGAUGGAGAGCUAGAGAUAGAGAGAGAGAUGGAGAGCUAGAGAGACAGAGAGAUGGAGAGCUAGAGAGAGAGAUGGAGAGCUAGAGAGAGAGAGAGAUGGAGAGCUAAAGAGAGAGAGAGAUGGAGAGCUAGAGAUAGAGAGAUGGAGAACUAGAGAGAGAGAGAUGGAGAGCUAGAGAGACAGAGAGAUGGAGAG
rnacentral:lncRNA from 1 species